rnacentral:lncRNA from 1 species
UUCGGUUGGUUUAUUAAAUAAGUAAUAGAUCUAAAAUUCAUUUCGAGUUGAGCACGAACUGACUCACGUACAAUGAACUAGAUUGUCAGCCGUACGUAUCAAUACUCUAAUAUUGGUCACUCCGUCCUAAACAAAUAUUUUGUCAAAAACAUGUUAGUGGAUCAUUUGGGAGAUAAGGAACGAACGAUAUUUAGAAAUGUUCCGCCGAACUCCCUACUAGCUGUCUAGAAGCUGAAACAAUUGACGAAGCUUUGGGAAUACCUUCUUCCCGCUAAUCGAGUUAUUCGCAAGUGUAGACUUCCCAACAUUGACCCCUUUUCUUUUUCUUUUUUUCGCUUAGCUCUCCCCCUCUCAAGGCUUCGGCUGUCUCACCUCUAUAGCCUAAUUCAUAUUUUCUAUAAAUGAAGCAUAUAGCACGCUAUCUUCUUCUCAAAAAAAAAAAAAAAAAAAAA